UAUAGAGGGUGCGAGCGUUGUUCGGAAUUAUUGGGCGUAAAGCGCUUGUAGGCGGCACGUCAAGUCGCGUGUGAAAUCCCCAGGCUUAACCUGGGAAGUGCGCGCGAAACUGACGAGCUUGAGUGCCGGAGAGGGUCGCGGAAUUCCCGGUGUAGAGGUGAAAUUCGUAGAUAUCGGGAGGAACACCAGUGGCGAAGGCGGCGACCUGGACGGACACUGACGCUGAGGAGCGAAAGCCAGGGGAGCAAACGGG
rnacentral:rRNA from 1 species